ensembl:snRNA U2 U2 spliceosomal RNA
AUUACUUCUCGGCCUUUUGGCCAAGAACAUGUAUAGUAUCUGUUCUUAUCAGUUUAAUCGACUGAUACGUCCUCUACCAGAGGACCAGAUAUUAAAUGGAUUUUUGGAGCAGGGAGAUGGAAUAGGAGCUUACUCCGUCUUCCACGCAUUGACCUGGUAUUGCAGUGCUUCCAGGAACAGUGCACCCCCU